rnacentral:rRNA from 1 species
UUACGGGAGGCAGCAGUGGGGAAUUUUGGACAAUGGGCGUAAGCCUGAUCCAGCCAUGCCGCGUGAGUGAAGAAGGCCUUCGGGUUGUAAAGCUCUUUCGGCGGGGACGAAACGGUUCGUGCCAACACCACGGACUAAUGACGGUACCCGCAGAAGAAGCACCGGCUAACUACGUGCCAGCAGCCGCGGUAAUACGUAGGGUGCAGGCGUUAAUCGGAAUUACUGGGCGUAAAGCGUGCGCAGGCGGUUUGUUAAGACAGGUGUGAAAUCCCCGGGCUUAACCUGGGAACUGCGCUUGUAACUGGCAGACUGGAGUGUGGCAGAGGGGGGUGGAAUUCCAAGUGUAGCAGUGAAAUGCGUAGAUAUUUGGAGGAACACCGAUGGCGAAGGCAGCCCCCUGGGCUAACACUGACGCUCAUGCACGAAAGCGUGGGGAGCAAACAGGAUUAGAUACCCCAGUAGUCUG